rnacentral:ribozyme from 1 species
CCGGCACGAGCUCCCACCUCACCGCGGUGUGUCGGUCUAGUAACUUCUUCGGAGGUGAAGCUAACGGGAGC